rnacentral:rRNA from 1 species
AUUGAACGCUGGCGGGAUGCUUUACACAUGCAAGUCGAACGGCAGCGCGGACUUCGGUCUGGCGGCGAGUGGCGAACGGGUGAGUAAUGUAUCGGAACGUGCCCAGUAGCGGGGGAUAACUACGCGAAAGCGUAGCUAAUACCGCAUACGCCCUACGGGGGAAAGCAGGGGAUCGUAAGACCUUGCACUAUUGGAGCGGCCUAUGUCGGAUUAGCUAGUUGGUGAGGUAACGGCUCACCAAGGCGACGAUCCGUAGCUGGUUUGAGAGGACGAUCAGCCACACUGGGACUGAGACACGGCCCAGACUCCUACGGGAGGCAGCAGUGGGGAAUUUUGGACAAUGGGGGCAACCCUGAUCCAGCCAUCCCGCGUGUGCGAUGAAGGCCUUCGGGUUGUAAAGCACUUUUGGCAGGAAAGAAACGUAGCGGGCUAAUACCCCGUGGAACUGACGGUACCUGCAGAAUAAGCACCGGCUAACUACGUG